rnacentral:rRNA from 1 species
AACGCGAAGAACCUUACCUGGGCUCGAAAUGCAGAGGGCGAUGCCAGAAAUGGCAUUUUCCGAAAGGACUUCUGUAUAGGUGCUGCAUGGCUGUCGUCAGCUCGUGCCGUGAGGUGUUGGGUUAAGUCCCGCAACGAGCGCAACCCUUAUCAUUAGUUGCCAUCACUUAAGGUGGGCACUCUAAUGAGACUGCCUAGGUUAACUAGGAGGAAGGUGAGGAUGAUGUCAAGUCCGCAUGGCCUUUAUGUCCAGGGCUACACACGUGCUACAAUGGUCGGUACAGAGGGCUGCAAGACCGCAAGGUGGAGCAAAUCCCACAAAGCCGAUCUCAGUUCAGAUUGUGGUCUGCAACUCGACCACAUGAAGUCGGAAUUGCUAGUAAUGGCGUGUCAGCAACAACGCCGUGAAUACGUUCCCGGGCCUUGUACACACCGCACUACUA